CCCCACCCCUCUCCUCACCCCCACUCAGCUCCUCUUACUCUCCUGGAGGGGCAGGCAGGGCUCACUGAGGACCCGCUCUCCCUCCAAGCUCCCGCUGUACCUCCCAUUCAGCACUUUCAAUGGGGACCAAGGGAGAGAAUGAGAGUCAGGGGCUGGUUUCAGCCAGCGAGCAGCAGGCAGAGAGAGAAAAACUGGCAAAGAAGUUUGCUUGUGCUGGGUCCCAGCUUUGUCAGCCAGCUGGGCCAGAUGCCACCGUGGAGGCAUCUGUCUCCACACAUCCUGUUUCUGGGGAUUGAUUCGCACAGCUGUCUCUUAGAUGGAAAGGAGGUGGCUGCCAACAUGACCCAGAGCAUCCUUCCAGCCCUACUUUAGGCAGGAUAGCUGAGUGGGAAGAUCCUGGGUUUUCAGUUGGGCAGGGAUUUCAAUCAGAUUCUGACACUCCCUAGAGGUGUCACCUUGGGUAAAUUGCCCAUAGUGCCAGAGAUGUAUAAUAGCGGUAAGAAUGUUUGGUUCAAAUCCCAGUUCUCCUUCCUAGCUGUGUGGCCUCAGACAACUUACCUGAUAUCUCUGAAUCUCAGUUCUCUGAAUCUCUGAAAUGGGGAUCCUACCUGUACUUAUUCUCGUAGGAUUGUUGGGAAGAUUGAGUGACUUAAUGCACAUUCAAGAGUUUAGAACAGUGCCUGGCACCAAGUGUAGUCUCUGACUGUUAUAACCUUCUCUGAGCCUGUAAAAUGGGGUAACCUCACCUACUUCUGGGGUCAUUCUGAAGGACCAAAGAGCUAAUGGAAGUGAAGCACCUAGUCAUAUGCCUGGCACACAAGAGAUGCUCAAAAAUGGCAAUCUUAAUGGAAGUAGGAUUAUAUAGUAUGAGUCCUUAGUCUGAGAACUACCUUGCGUAAUACACUUUAUGUCUCUGAGGCUCAACUUGGACACCUGUAAAAUGGGGGCACCAACCGGAUGUCCUGCAAGUUUGACUUAAUUCUGACACUGUCUACCUGAAGAUAACAUCAGACCCCACAGGGAAAUUCUAAGGCUUUUAGGAGCUCUGUGCUAAGAAUGGAGAAGACUAAAUAUCCAGACGAACCCAGAGAGGGUAGAGGAAAUGUCUUCCUCCUCUACAGUUUGGCAACUUUGACAGGAUAAAAUUUCACUGGCUGGACACUGCUUGCUCCUGGACUGCUGCAGCUGAGAGAUCCUGGACCCCUGAUGAGAGCCGGCAAGAGCCGUUCUCCACACUAUGCAGAGGGAUUGUUUUAAAACACAAAUGUGAUACAGUCAGCAACUUGAUGGAAACGACCUCAAUGGCUGCUUGCUGCUCUCGAGAUAAAGAUCAACACGCUAUGUCCUACAAGGCCCUGAGGUCUCCAACAGGAGGCUUACCAUCUUCAUCUAGUCCUUAGUUGCAUUUUUUAAAAAAUAAAAUUGAACUGGCAAUGCUCUGUUUCUUGAUCUGGGUGCUGAACACUGGUACUUACCCUGUGAAUAUUCAUCAAGCUCUACUGUUUGAUUUGUGGGCUUGUCUGUAUGUACGGUAUAUUUCA
rnacentral:lncRNA from 1 species